rnacentral:rRNA from 1 species
AACUAGCAUCUCGAGUGGCAAUCACAAUUAUUGGGCUUAGAGCGUCCGUAGCUCGCCCGGAAAGUCCCUGGUGAAAUCCUGCGGCUCAACCGUAGGGAGCGCCGGGGAAACUAACGGGCCUGAGGGCAGGAGAGGUCGGGGGUACGUCUGGGGUAGGGGUGAAAUCCUAUAAUCCUGGACGGACCAACAGUGGCGAAGGCGCCCGACAUGAAUGCGCCUGACAGUGAGGGACGAGAGCCAGGGGCGCGAAACGG